rnacentral:rRNA from 1 species
AUUGAACGCUGGCGGCAGGCCUAACACAUGCAAGUCGAGCGGAUGAAGAGAGCUUGCUCUCUGAUUUAGCGGCGGACGGGUGAGUAAUGCCUAGGAAUCUGCCUGGUAGUGGGGGCUAACGUUCCGAAAGGAACGCUAAUACCGCAUACGUCCUACGGGAGAAAGCAGGGGACCUUCGGGCCUUGCGCUAUCAGAUGAGCCUAGGUCGGAUUAGCUAGUUGGUGAGGUAAUGGCUCACCAAGGCUACGACCCGUAACUGGUCUGAGAGGCUGAUCGGUCACACUGGAACUGAGACACGGUCCAGACUCCUACGGGAGGCAGCAGUGGGGAAUAUUGGACAAUGGGCGAAAGCCUGAUCCAGCCAUGCCGCGUGUGUGAAGAAGGUCUUCGGAUUGUAAAGCACUUUAAGUUGGGAGGAAGGGCAGUAAGCUAAUACCUUGCUGUUUUGACGUUACCGACAGAAUAAGCACCGGCUAACUUCGUGCCAGCCGCCGCCGUAAAAC